GAGAACCUAGUUGAAACCUAAAGAGACCCCGUGACUGGUUUAGUUAGCAAAAUCCCCUUCCAAUUCACGAGUGAAAUCAAGCAAAUCGCAGCUAGUUUUGAAGCAUCUGAGAUGAGGAUCGAGGGUUUGCAUGUCUGAAACUAUGUGUCUUGUUCCUAAUCUGUCUAUCCAGAGUGACAAAGAGAGUAUCCACCGACUUGAAUGUGUUGGAGUGGAGCCUCGAGUUCCUUUCAAUCCACAGCGCAUAGAUCAUCGCCUGCCAGGCGAGGAGAGCAAGAGCAGUUUGAGAGUUUGAAGCAGGAAGGGACAUGAGCUGGGUCAGCGUUUCAUCCCAGGUACACCUCGGUUGCAUGUAACCUCCCUGCAAUUGAGGUCCAUAGAUCAUAACUAUAAUCACAUUCCUGGAAGAGAUGGUUACGAGAUUCGCUUUGAUUGUUACAAAGCAGACAAAGAUGAUCAGUUUGGAGACCCCAUCGUAUCAGUCGAUCGCGAGUAGAUAGCUGAUCCUGAAUUACUAACCAAGCAUGAAAGCAGUGCCUCAGUAUCCCUCUCUUAAUCCAGAUCAAAGUUUCCCACCGAACCUGAGCUCCACAGUAGUGAGGUAGCCUUGUAGUUGAAGUUGUGCUUCUGAUCUUGCAGGGGGAAGCUGCCAUUUUCCAUUUAUGCAGAUAGAGGACACAGUUUCUUUAGCCGGAUACCCAAUCCUGAUAGAGGACCAUUAAGCUUUAAGAGUUUAUUGGCCAGCCAAGAGAAGGAGGGGUUAGACUUCGUUGUCCAGUAGUUGCUAAGCGAGCCUUUGAGAACAACCUCCUUGAACCAAGCAACCCAAACAGAACCACUCCUGAAGAAAAGUAACCAGAUCAAUCGCAGACAGCAAGCCCUAUUUUAGACAGAUAGGUUUUUAACUCCUAAGCCUCCUUGACAUUUCGGUUUGGUGACAACAUCCCAAGAGACUCUCUCUGUGUUCCUGCUCUCACAUCUUCUUUCCAAAGAAACACACUACACAUAGAGUUAUCCUUGCCUAUACACGCCUUCGGUAAAAUAAAGGAGGAGCACUAGAAUGUGUAGUGGCUCGCAGUUAGUGAGGUUCAUUUUCCUAGAGUUCAGCAGUACUCCAAGAUAUCUGACAGACCGAAGUUCAAACUCUCGAAGCACUGAGAGAACCUGUUGCACUGAUUCCAGAGAGCCAUCAAUGAAAAUCAGAAGAUCGUCUGCAAAGGAGAGAUAGGUGAGCUUUGUGGACUUGCACUGAGAGUGAUAUUUGAGCUUAUUCUCCACCGCGGCCCUGUUAAGAAGAUGGGAGAGAUAGUUCAUUGCUAUAACAAAUAAGUAAGAUACAGGCCUUCAGCCAAGCAACAAACUGGUCGGGAAUCUGCAAGGCAUCAAGAGUAGCAAACAUAAACUCCCACAAGAGGGUGUCAAACGCCUUUGCAAUGUCUACCUUAAUGGGGAGAAUCAGGUAAGGCAAGCAGAGUUUCAGACGCUUAACCAAGAUGCGAGAGAUGACUUUAUAUAGAGUAUUGAGGCAGUAUAUGGGGCGAAACUGAGUGAUCUGAGAAGCUCCUGAGAAUUUCGGAACCAGCGACAGAAUGGUAGCAUUUAGAGAAGAGGGCAGGAACGCAGAGGAAAAGAAGUUAGUUAUGGAGUUCACGACUUCAUCCCCAAGACACUCCAAGCUGCCUUGAAAAAUCCCGAGGGGUUGGCAUAGCUCUCAUCUGUUGAGCAAUCUGAGCAGAGCAUCGGUAGCUACAAGUCUCCAUGAACCAGCUAGCAGGGGUGAAAAUCCCAAACAAGCAGUAAGGUGGGGGUCCAAGCACAGACUGGAAGUGAGUGACGGCGUGAUCACUUAUAGCAAGCGGGUCUGUAAUCCAAUCACCAGUGCACGUCAUAAAGCUCCUUAUGGCAUUGUAGUUAGCUCGAACCUGACACAUCCGAUGAAAGAAGGAAUAACCAUUUCUGGUGCAAAUCUCUCUCUGCUUGGAAUGUGGCUGGGGUAGGGUUUUGGAGAGCUUGUACAUGCACAAGUUGAAGCAAACAAUAAGUUUCAGAAACUCUCUCUUGAAUUUUAGAAAAAUUCUCUCUAUUUAGAUGUUUUAAGUCACUCUUUAUCAAUUUCAGCUUCCAGCACAAAUGGGCAAGGCUUUGACUCUCACUUCCAGCACGCAACCAACCGUCAUAAACAACCUGAGCGAAACUCGGAUGCUUUGUAAUGUAAUUAAGGAAUUUAAAAGGCUUGGUUCUGGCUUUUGGGAGUUGAUAGGCUAGGUCUAGGAUACAAGCUUUUUAGGUGUUGGGGCUCAAGAGAUGAUAUGAUCUGGAUAAACUUGUAUCUCGGGAGUCCGAUCAAGAAUUUCUUCAUUUUUGGAUUUUUUACAUUUUCUCUCAACGAGGCUGUCUUGUAUGAUAAACCUGAUGUAUUUCCCGAAAAAUCAUUGACCGAAUCAUUAUCAUUUAUCUUCAACCUAUCAAA